UUCACUGAGGAACUCCAGAGUACAGUUCAGUUCGUCGUAUCGUCGUUAAGUCGAUAAGUCGAAAACCGCCCCUUGCCUCCCCCCCCUAUUUCUUAUAUACAUUCUCUUCCUCCGUCCGUCAGUCGGCCGGAACGACUUUUGCCAUCUCUCGCCGACUUUUGGUACUUCACUCUUGUGCCACUCGAGCUAACGCUUUGGUGCUCUUUUAGGUGUUUUCGAGAGUCUCGAGGACAUGGGGGCCCCAGAAGUCGUCCCGGUGAGUUGCCGUGAACUUGUUGUCCUCGAUGUGAUAGUCGUCCCCUGUCGGGGUUGACGAAAAUCCACCGCCUAAUUAAUUCGUCGGAGAGGCGGACUUUGCCAAAUUCGUAUUGGAAUAACUCGAAAACGGCCGGAGGGAUCGAGACGAAAUCGACGGCGUUAGAAUCCUCGAGGAAGGGAGAAAAGGACUAUACUGGAAAACAACCUCCGACUUGAGUUUUUUUAGCCCCCUUGUGUCGGCUGAUCGAUGAGAAAAGACGGAAAUUCUGACUUCGAGCCGAGCCUGGCGAGUUUGAGGGAUGCUGCCUGAAGAAUCUGAACUGUCGGUCGAAUUUUACACUCGAUGGAUUUCUUUCCGAGUCCGAAACGGAGGGUUAAGUCGAAACUUACUGCGUCACCUGGAGAUCGAGGAGGGAUCGGAGAAGUCUUCCCGGUAUCCUUGCUAGUCGUUUAAGUUAACUUAAGGAUAAAUUUUUGGAAAUGCAUAAAAUCCACCCAAGUACCGUAUUAAACAGAAAACUGCAUUACCGACUGAGUCUGUCACUUGUCACUUCGAUUCCGGGAUGAAAACGCUUUUUCCAUUUUACGGCUUUCCUAGGAGUUUUCGAAUGCUCAACUCACCUUCGGAGCCCCCUCGUGAACUCUGCGGGGAACGGAAUUUAUUCGUCGGAGAGGCGUACUUUUCGAAAUUGAAAUUGGAAUAACUCGAAAACGGCUGGACCGAUGGGGAUGAAAUAGACGGCGUUAGAAUCGUCGAGGAAGGGAGCAUAAGCCAAUACCGGAGAGGAACCCCUGGGGUGACUUUUUUUCCGCCCCUUGUGACAGCUGAUCGAUCUGAAAAAAUUCCUUGGGGCUAUUCAGACCACACUGAAGACGAAGGACCUUCCUCGGGGCACCCCUCUGACCCUCCUUGGAGCCCUUUUGCAUGUUAGAAUUAAGAGAAUCUUGUAAUUGACUGAGUUGUGAUCAUGGCAUGUUAUGUUACCAUCGAAUUUUUAUCUUGACUUGUAAUAUCACUCUCAAAUUUAAUGCAUGUUCAAACCUGUAACCUGAAGGGCUUGAAUAAAAUGUCUGGGACUCGUAAA